rnacentral:rRNA from 1 species
CCUACGGGAGGCAGCAGUCGAGAAUCAUUCACAAUGGGGGAAACCCUGAUGGUGCGACGCCGCGUGGGGGAAUGAAGGUCUUCGGAUUGUAAACCCCUGUCAUGUGGGAGCAAAUUAAAAAGAUAGUACCACAAGAGGAAGAGACGGCUAACUCUGUGCCAGCAGCCGCGGUAAUACAGCGGUCUCAAGCGUUGUUCGGAAUCACUGGGCGUAACGCGUGCGUAGGCUGUUUCGUAAGUCGUGUGUGAAAGGCGCGGGCUCAACCCGCGGACGGCACAUGAUACUGCGAGACUAGAGUAAUGGAGGGGGAACCGGAAUUCUCGGUGUAGCAGUGAAAUGCGUAGAUAUCGAGAGGAACACUCGUGGCGAAGGCGGGUUCCUGGACAUUAACUGACGCUGAGGCACGAAGGCCAGGGGAGCGAAAGGGAUUAGAUACCCGAGUAGUC